AUGCUUGGACUUCCCAGUGAAGUUCCCUAGACACGACAGUGCGCUGUUCUUUGGCUCUUUACUUUCUCAUUCCUCAGCCUGGAGGCCUUUCUUUAACUUCUCAUUGCUAAGGUCUGUUUAUCCUCCAGAUAGCCUUCUUAGGCCACCUAUAAUAUCCUCAUAUGGUGGUCUCUUCCUUUCUUUUCCUCUCCUGGUUCAUAUUUGGGCCAGAGUGACCUCUGGCAUUUACCUCCAACUAACUUUGAGGUGCAGGACCCCACAAGCCAUCAUUUAUCCUUUGGCAAAUAUAGCAGCAGUUAGCCAGCCUGUCUGUCACUUUUAGGAUUCUUUGGGGGAUAGAGAUCAGACUCCCAUGCCUGCCAAAUGCAGGGGACAAAUAUCCUGUUCUUCAGGUGGCACUGCCGGAACCCUUCUGCCUUGAGUAACAUAAAGAAGAGGAAAGAAGAUCAAAGAAUUAUGAAACAAAUGAGAUGCUUGUAAACUUCAUUAGUUAUAUGAAACCACAAAGGGGCAUUUAAUAAACUAUUCCUCUCAAAAA